GUGAGGAAUAUUGGACAAUGGGCGCAAGUCUGAUCCAGCCAUGCCGCGUGCAGGAAGACGCAUCUAUGGUGUGUAAACUGCUUUUGUACGGGAAGAAACACUCCCUCGUGAGGGAGCUUGACGGUACCGUAAGAAUAAGGAUCGGCUAACUCCGUGCCAGCAGCCGCGGUAAUACGGAGGAUCCAAGCGUUAUCCGGAAUCAUUGGGUUUAAAGGGUCCGUAGGCGGUUUAAUAAGUCAGUGGUGAAAGCCCAUCGCUCAACGAUGGAACGGCCAUUGAUACUGUUAGACUUGAAUUACAAGGAAGUAACUAGAAUAUGUAGUGUAGCGGUGAAAUGCUUAGAUAUUACAUGGAAUACCAAUUGCGAAGGCAGGUUACUACUUGUGGAUUGACGCUGAUGGACGAAAGCGUGGGGAGCGAACAGGAUUAGAAACCCGGGUAGUCC
rnacentral:rRNA from 1 species